rnacentral:rRNA from 1 species
AGCGAUCGCUGGCGGCAGGCCUAACACAUGCAAGUCGAGCGCCCCGCAAGGGGAGCGGCAGACGGGAGAGUAACACGUGGGAACGUACCCUUUGGUUCGGAACAACCCAGGGAAACUUGGGCUAAUACCGGAUAAGCCCUUACGGGGAAAGAUUCAUCGCCGAAGGAUCGGCCCGCGUCUGAUUAGCUAGUUGGUGGGGUAACGGCCUACCAAGGCGACGAUCAGUAGCUGGUCUGAGAGGAUGAUCAGCCUCACUGGGACUGAGACACGGCCCAGACUCCUACGGGAGGCAGCAGUGGGGAAUAUUGGACAAUGGGCGCAAGCCUGAUCCAGCCAUGCCGCGUGGGUGAUGAAGGCCCUAGGGUUGUAAAGCCCUUUCGGCGGGGAAGAUAAUGACGGUACCCGCAGAAGAAGCCCCGGCUAACUUCGUGCCAGCCGCCGCCGUAAAAC